AGAGUUUGAUCCUGGCUCAGGACGAACGCUGGCGGCGUGCCUAAUACAUGCAAGUCGAACGCUUCUUUUUCCACCGGAGCUUGCUCCACCGGAAAAAGAGGAGUGGCGAACGGGUGAGUAACACGUGGGUAACCUGCCCAUCAGAAGGGGAUAACACUUGGAAACAGGUGCUAAUACCGUAUAACAAUCGAAACCGCAUGGUUUUGAUUUGAAAGGCGCUUUCGGGUGUCGCUGAUGGAUGGACCCGCGGUGCAUUAGCUAGUUGGUGAGGUAACGGCUCACCAAGGCCACGAUGCAUAGCCGACCUGAGAGGGUGAUCGGCCACAUUGGGACUGAGACACGGCCCAAACUCCUACGGGAGGCAGCAGUAGGGAAUCUUCGGCAAUGGACGAAAGUCUGACCGAGCAACGCCGCGUGAGUGAAGAAGGUUUUCGGAUCGUAAAACUCUGUUGUUAGAGAAGAACAAGGAUGAGAGUAACUGUUCAUCCAUUGACGGUAUCUAACCAGAAAGCCACGGCUAACUACGUGCCAGCAGCCGCGGUAAUACGUAGGUGGCAAGCGUUGUCCGGAUUUAUUGGGCGUAAAGCGAGCGCAGGCGGUUUCUUAAGUCUGAUGUGAAAGCCCCCGGCUCAACCGGGGAGGGUCAUUGGAAACUGGGAGACUUGAGUGCAGAAGAGGAGAGUGGAAUUCCAUGUGUAGCGGUGAAAUGCGUAGAUAUAUGGAGGAACACCAGUGGCGAAGGCGGCUCUCUGGUCUGUAACUGACGCUGAGGCUCGAAAGCGUGGGGAGCAAACAGGAUUAGAUACCCUGGUAGUCCACGCCGUAAACGAUGAGUGCUAAGUGUUGGAGGGUUUCCGCCCUUCAGUGCUGCAGCUAACGCAUUAAGCACUCCGCCUGGGGAGUACGACCGCAAGGUUGAAACUCAAAGGAAUUGACGGGGGCCCGCACAAGCGGUGGAGCAUGUGGUUUAAUUCGAAGCAACGCGAAGAACCUUACCAGGUCUUGACAUCCUUUGA
rnacentral:rRNA from 1 species